rnacentral:rRNA from 1 species
AUUGAACGCUGGCGGCAGGCCUAACACAUGCAAGUCGAGCGAGCGGCGGACGGGUGAGUAAUGUAUGGGGACUGCCCGAUAGAGGGGGAUAACUACUGGAAACGGUAGCUAAUACCGCAUACUAUCGGAUAACCCAUAUGGGAUUAGCUAGUAGGUGAGGUAAUGGCUCACCUAGGCGACGAGCCCUAGCUGGUCUGAGAGGAUAAUCAGCAAAACUGGGACUGGGACACGCCCCAGACCCCAACGGAGGCAGCAGUGGGGAAUAUUGCACAAUGGGCGAAAGCCUGAUGCAGCCAUGCCGCGUGUAUGAAGAAGGCCCUAGGGUUGUAAAGUACUUUCUGUCGGGAGGCGUUUCCGACAUAAGAAGCACCGGCUAACUCCGUGCCAGCCGCCGCGGUAAUU